rnacentral:rRNA from 1 species
GACGAACGCUGGCGGCGUGCUUAACACAUGCAAGUCGAACGGAAAGGCCCUGCUUUUGUGGGGUGCUCGAGUGGCGAACGGGUGAGUAACACGUGAGUAACCUGCCCUUGACUUUGGUAUAACUUCAGGAAACUUGGUCUAAUACCCGAUAGGAGCUCCUGCUGCAUGGUGGGGGUUGGAAAGUUUCGGCGGUUGGGGAUGGACUCGCGGCUUAUCAGCUUGUUGGUGGGGUAGUGGCUUACCAAGGCUUUGACGGGUAGCCGGCCUGAGAGGGUGACCGGCCACAUGGGGACUGAGGUACGGCCCAGACGCCUACGGGAGGCAGCAGUGGGGAAUAUUGCACAAUGGGCGGAAGCCUGAUGCAGAAACGCCGCGUGCGGGAUGAGGGCCUUCGGGUUGUAAACCGCUUUCGCCUGUGACGAAGCGUGAGUGACGGUAAUGGGUAAAGAAGCACCGGCUAACUACGUG